AGUGGAAUUGCUGGAUAAUAUGGUAACCCUAUGUCUAACUCUUUGAAGAAUUGCCAAACUGAAAAGUAAUUUCACCAUUUUAUAUUCACACUAGCAGU
rnacentral:pre_miRNA from 1 species